UGUCAUUUGGAAAAUUAGGAAUCUAACCCCGUUUCUCGAGGGCUAAAAGAUUGGUUUGGUAAGAUGAUGUUUUCAUGACCCUUUUAUUGAAUGAAAAAUGGAGUAUGCUUUCUCCGUGUUAAAUUUGGAGUAUUGGCUUCUUGUUUUUCAUCAGUUUCUCGGCUAUGUGGUGUCGGACCUCUCCAAAAUGAUUAAUCACUCCAUCAUGCUUGGAAGCAGACUUCAUUGGGGCUUGUUUUUAAUGAUUUUCUUCUUUUUAAUUUUAUAUGUCGCAAUAUCACAUUUUAUAUUUCAUCUUGAAGAAUUUUGUUAUUUAAUUAUGGAUUUAUGUUUCUUGAAAUAGAGACAAAUGUUUUUUUUUUUUUGGCUAUCUAACUGUGUUUGGUAACAUUGAUAUGAAAAAUGAGAAUUUUAGGGUUUCUUUAUUUUUUUCAUGAACAUGGUCAUGAUGGCCUUGUUGAUACUUCCUGCUCAAAAAAAGUUUUGAUUGCUAUUAUACAUGGUUUGAAGUAUAAUAGCUAUAAAGUAGAUUUUUUGGUCUCUCCAUUUAAAAGCCUAAUUCUAGCUUCGAUUGGUGUUAAAUUGUUAAGAUAUUGAUGAUCGGUGUCAUGUGGACGUGUCAACGAAAUGAUUUUGUACUAAACUUAAAUUAAACAUUUGGUUUCGAUAUUUUAACUGCAUGUUGAAAUCAAAUUGGAUCAUUGUACAAAGAGUUACAUAAAUUUCUUUACUCAUUGUCUCUCGUUCUCUAACCUCAGCUAUCACUAUGUUUCUCUCGGUCUCAAGGGUUGAUUUUAAACAUUUUGAUAUGUAGAGAUUGAGUUGGCUAAUUAUAGUAUCAUAAAGAAUCUAAAAAUGUUUUUCAUGAGUAAUAAUGUUGAAUCAGUUUGAAGAUAAUGAUUUUUGAUGUCCAAAUGUUU
rnacentral:lncRNA from 1 species